rnacentral:rRNA from 2 species
AGCGAAUGGAUUAAGAGCUUGCUCUUAUGAAGUUAGCGGCGGACGGGUGAGUAACACGUGGGUAACCUGCCCAUAAGACUGGGAUAACUCCGGGAAACCGGGGCUAAUACCGGAUAACAUUUUGAACCGCAUGGUUCGAAAUUGAAAGGCGGCUUCGGCUGUCACUUAUGGAUGGACCCGCGUCGCAUUAGCUAGUUGGUGAGGUAACGGCUCACCAAGGCAACGAUGCGUAGCCGACCUGAGAGGGUGAUCGGCCACACUGGGACUGAGACACGGCCCAGACUCCUACGGGAGGCAGCAGUAGGGAAUCUUCCGCAAUGGACGAAAGUCUGACGGAGCAACGCCGCGUGAGUGAUGAAGGCUUUCGGGUCGUAAAACUCUGUUGUUAGGGAAGAACAAGUGCUAGUUGAAUAAGCUGGCACCUUGACGGUACCUAACCAGAAAGCCACGGCUAACUACGUGCCAGCAGCCGCGGUAAUACGUAGGUGGCAAGCGUUAUCCGGAAUUAUUGGGCGUAAAGCGCGCGCAGGUGGUUUCUUAAGUCUGAUGUGAAAGCCCACGGCUCAACCGUGGAGGGUCAUUGGAAACUGGGAGACUUGAGUGCAGAAGAGGAAAGUGGAAUUCCAUGUGUAGCGGUGAAAUGCGUAGAGAUAUGGAGGAACACCAGUGGCGAAGGCGACUUUCUGGUCUGUAACUGACACUGAGGCGCGAAAGCGU